rnacentral:rRNA from 1 species
UGGUGUUACUGCGAAGGGGGGACGGAGAAGGCUAUGUUAGCCGGGCGACGGUUGUCCCGGUUUAAGCAUGUAGGCUGGUUAUCCAGGCAAAUCCGGAUAAUCAAGGCUGAGGUGUGAUGACGAGGCACUACGGUGCUGAAGUAACAAAUGCCCUGCUUCCAGGAAAAGCCUCUAAGCAUCAGGUAACAUCAAAUCGUACCCCAAACCGACACAGGUGGUCAGGUAGAGAAUACCAAGGCGCUUGAGAGAACUCGGGUGAAGGAACUAGGCAAAAUGGUGCCGUAACUUCGGGAGAAGGCACGCUGGUGUGUAGGUGAAGCCCCUGCGGGUGGAGCUGAGACCAGUCGAAGAUACCAGCUGGCUGCAACUGUUUAUUAAAAACACAGCACUGUGCAAACACGAAAGU